CCUACGGGAGGCAGCAGUCGAGAAUCAUUCACAAUGGGGGAAACCCUGAUGGUGCGACGCCGCGUGGGGGAAUGAAGGUCUUCGGAUUGUAAACCCCUGUCAUGUGGGAGCAAAUUAAAAAGAUAGUACCACAAGAGGAAGAGACGGCUAACUCUGUGCCAGCAGCCGCGGUAAUACAGAGGUCUCAAGCGUUGUUCGGAAUCACUGGGCGUAAAGCGUGCGUAGGCUGUUUCGUAAGUCGUGUGUGAAAGGCGCGGGCUCAACCCGCGGACGGCACAUGAUACUGCGAGACUAGAGUAAGGGAGGGGUAACCGGAAUUCUCGGUGUAGCAGUGAAAUGCGUAGAUAUCGAGCGGAACACUCGUGGCGAAGGUGGGUUCCUGGACAUUAACUGACGCUGAGGCACGAAGGCCAGGGGAGCGAAAGGGAUUAGAUACCCCAGUAGUC
rnacentral:rRNA from 1 species